rnacentral:rRNA from 1 species
AGGACGAACGCUGGCGGCGUGCCUAACACAUGCAAGUCGAACGGAGUUAUUUGAUUGAUUCCUUCGGGAUGAUUGAUUUUAACUUAGUGGCGGACGGGUGAGUAACGCGUGAGUAACCUGCCUUUGAGAGGGGGAUAACGUUCUGAAAAGAACGCUAAUACCGCAUGACAUAUCGAAGCCGCAUGACUUUGAUAUCAAAGAUUUAUCGCUCAAAGAUGGACUCGCGUCCGAUUAGUUAGUUGGUGAGGUAACGGCUCACCAAGACCGCGAUCGGUAGCCGGACUGAGAGGUUGAACGGCCACAUUGGGACUGAGACACGGCCCAGACUCCUACGGGAGGCAGCAGUGGGGGAUAUUGCGCAAUGGGGGCAACCCUGAACCGCAGCAACGCCGCGUGAAUGAAGAAGGUCUUCGGAUUGUAAAGUUCUUUAAUUGGUGAAGAAAGAAAUGACGGUAGCCAAAGAAUAAGCCACGACUAACUACGUGCCAGCAGCUGC